AAAUUAUUGUAUUUUUAAUUGAAAACAACACACAAAAUGUGUAUAUGUUUUGGCAGAAUAGGGGCACCAAAAGAAAAACAUUGUAUUUGGGCGGUAGCUUUGUUCCACAUUCUGUAAUUGUGCCAUGGUAGGUAUUAUGAUGUGGAACUGGCGUAUUUCUGUAAUACGUACGUUCAAAACAUUUUACUAUAAUGGGGAAGUUCAAAAUUUGUGUACGCUACGUCUAAUUUUAGGUAAUGCUGUAACAAGGUGUUCAAGUAAAAAUUGUAAAAAUAGUACUAUAUUGAACAAUGUACGGGAGCACAACAUACUCAACACACCAAAAAUAUAUUAGCCGGCAAUACAGCUAGAGAAAAAUAUAAAAAUAGUUUGUCAUAAUACUUGUGUAACAAUGCUUGAGAAACACUUGGAAAAUCACGCGAAUUUAUUAACCAUUUCCGAACCGAAUUUUAAGACUGAAUGCAUCAAAAAGUUGCAGGAAUUCAAUAGAAGUGUCAUAUUUGUGGAGGAGAUGCGGAAGCUCAAAUAAGGGAAACGAAAGCGUUUGGGUAUCAAGGCCACAGAAGGCAGUAACAGCUGGGAUGGUCAUCAAUGAAAUGAAAUGUGUAAAAUGAUUAGAAAAUUAAAAAAUAAAUAUUAUAUACUAUUA